AGAUCAGCCCUGGGGUUCAGAGGGAUCCUGACGGCUACUCCUCAAGAUCCUCUCUGUUGUGAUUCAUCCCCCCCGGGCCCUACAGUUUCUCCUUCCUGACUCUUACAUUUCUUUGGAUGGCAUCAUUAUUUUAGGUGCCAAGCACUGUGGAUUCUGCCCCUCAGUGUCCAGACACCCAUUUUCCUUCCCACUGUUCCUUCCCCAUGGAGAAGCCUGUGGCUGGCUGACAGCAGAGAGAGAUGCUCAACUUGGAGAAGGUGUUACCUGGGCCAGGUGGGGAAGGUUUGUUUGCAGAGCAAAGAAGUGAAGCCUAUUCAACGUGAAAAAGAUGAGGAUGAAGACCUUUAUUAUGAUCCACUUCCAAGUAAUGAACACACUGGAGAAAGUCAGACAGUCAAAACAAUGUCCCAGACUCCGUGAAGUUCCUGGGUAGAGAAGGAGACAGACAUAUACCAUACCUAAUAAUUGGAUGUCCGAGAGAAUGAGAGAAUGGCAGAAAGAACUUUAGAGCAUGGGUAUGAUGGCUAGAGCUUGAGCAGCCAUUGUGGACAUCAGAUGAACUUGAAAGUGAAAACUAUGAGCUGAAUACGACAAAGCAAACAGAUAGAAAACUGGAUUCAUUAUGACAUUGCAAAGCUGCCAGACCAGCUCUAGUCUGCUUCCCCCUAAUCUUCCUUACUAAGAGAGAGAAAUAAACUUCCAUCUUCUUCAA
rnacentral:antisense_RNA from 1 species